rnacentral:rRNA from 1 species
GAUGAACGCUGGCGGCGUGCCUAAUACAUGCAAGUCGAGCGAACAGACGAGGAGCUUGCUCCUCUGACGUUAGCGGCGGACGGGUGAGUAACACGUGGAUAACCUACCUAUAAGACUGGGAUAACUUCGGGAAACCGGAGCUAAUACCGGAUAAUAUAUUGAACCGCAUGGUUCAAUAGUGAAAGACGGUUUUGCUGUCACUUAUAGAUGGAUCCGCGCCGCAUUAGCUAGUUGGUAAGGUAACGGCUUACCAAGGCAACGAUGCGUAGCCGACCGGAGAGGGUGAUCGGCCACACUGGAACUGAGACACGGUCCAGACUCCUACGGGAGGCAGCAGUAGGGAAUCUUCCGCAAUGGGCGAAAGCCUGACGGAGCAACGCCGCGUGAGUGAUGAAGGUCUUCGGAUCGUAAAACUCUGUUAUUAGGGAAGAACAAAUGUGUAAGUAACUAUGCACGUCUUGACGGUACCUAUUCAGAAAGCCACGGCUAACUACGUG